UGGUAGAAGAAGCAUGACCGUGGGUAACUGGUGUCCUGGAUGACAGGCUAAGACAUGACUGUUAGGCAAGGCCAGAUUCCUCCCACAGUUGACUGUCCAUAGCCAAUGGGAAAAGGAUAAAUGUACAAUAAAGACAAGUCCCUAAGGAAGACCCCUAGCUCUAAAUCCUGAUUGGUGAAAUAACGUGGCGCAGAUGUUUGUGGACUUCCGUCUGAAGAGCUCUGUAGGAUUAUGGCUUAGGGUAGCAGUCAGCUCCUGAGUCUGGUCUGAGGCCAUGAUCGAUCAAUCAGUCCUGGGGUGAAUGCUCAACACACUAGCCUUCUCUGACUGAGAUCAGUGGUCAUGUGGUAUUUCAGGCGACUCCUGGACCCCAACACACAGUCAAUCUUUGUACAUUCCAAGUUCCUUUCCCCUUCCUAGAGCCCCCUUGGUAAAUACUAUAUGGGGUAAACAGUCCCAAUUUUCUCUGUUAGGAGCGCAAAAGAAUUCAAACCAUGCACCAGGUCACAGGAGGUGGGCACCGGAGGAAGAUAUGGCCUCUCCUGCCUCUACACCACUACACUCCUUCCUUUUCUCUACUUCCUUCUUUCAGCCAGUUCCCUCAUCCCAUCUCCACCUUUGCCCCACUAACUCCGGGGAAGCCUACUGGGACAAGAUGGAGUGUUUCCUGGCUCCAUGCUUACAGGGAGAGUAGGAGGGGAACCUACACCCAUUCCAUGACAUCACUUACCUCCCCCAAGCAUGGCGACAGCAGUCUUGACUAGAAAGGAAAAAAAAA
rnacentral:lncRNA from 1 species